AGGUCACCUGGAUAAAAAUUUGGGUUGAUCGGCAAGCGCCGGCCGGGCCUACAGAGCGGGUGACAAAGCCCCAUACGCUCGAGGACCGGACGCGGUGCCGCCGCUGCCUUUCGGGCCCGUCCCCCGGGAUCGGAGGACGGGGCCCAACACACAAGCCGUGCUUGAGGGCAGCAAUGACGCUCGGACAGGCAUGCCCCCCGGAAUACCAGGGGGCGCAAUGUGCGUUCAAAGACUCGAUGAUUCACUGAAUUUGCAAUUCACAUUACGUAUCGCAUUUCGCUGCGUUCUUCAUCGAUGCCGGAACCAAGAGAUCCGUUGUUGAAAGUUUUAAAUAAUUUAUAUUUUCACUCAGACUACAAUCUUCAGACAGAGUUCGAGGGUGUCUUCGGCGGGCGCGGGCCCGGGGGCGUAAGCCCCCCGGCGGCCAGUUAAGGCGGGCCCGCCGAAGCAACAAGGUAAAAUAAACACGGGUGGGAGGUUGGACCCAGAGGGCCCUCACUCGGUAAUGAUCCUUCCGCAGGUUCACCAACGGAAGG
rnacentral:misc_RNA from 1 species